GAUGAACGCUGGCGGCGUGCCUAAUACAUGCAAGUCGAGCGAACGGACGAGAAGCUUGUUUCUAUGAUGUUAGCGGCGGACGGGUGAGUAACACGUGGAUAACCUACCUAUAAGACUGGGAUAACUUCGGGAAACCGGAGCUAAUACCGGAUGAUAUUUUGAACCGCAUGGUUCAAGAGUGAAAGACGGUCUUGCUGUCACCUAUAGAUGGAUCCGCGCUGCAUUAGCUAGUUGGUAAGGUAACGGCUUACCAAGGCAACGAUGAAUAGCCGCCCUGAGGGGGGGAUCGGCCCCAUUGGAACUGAGACCCGGUCCAGACUCCUACGGGAGGCAGCAGUAGGGAAUCUUCGGCAAUGGGCGAAAGCCUGACGGAGCAACGCCGCGUGGUUGAGGAAGUUCUUCGGAUCGUAAAACUCUGUUGUUAGGGAAGAACAUAUGUGUAAGUAACUGUGCACAUCUUGACGGUACCUAAUCAGAAAGCCACGGCUAACUACGUG
rnacentral:rRNA from 1 species